GGGCCCGCACAAGCGGUGGAGCAUGUGGUUUAAUUCGAUGAUACGCGAGGAACCUUACCAGGGCUUAAAUGGGAAAUGACAGGGGCAGAGACGCCCCCUUCUUCGGACAUUUUUCAAGGUGCUGCAUGGUUGUCGUCAGCUCGUGCCGUGAGGUGUCAGGUUAAGUCCUAUAACGAGCGCAACCCCUAUCUUUAGUUGCUAGCAGGUAAUGCUGAGGACUCUAAAGAAACUGCCUACGCAAGUAGUGAGGAAGGCGGGGACGACGUCAAGUCAUCACGGCCCUUACGUCCUGGGCCACACGCGUGCUACAAUGGCCGGUACAGAGAGCAGCCACUUCGCAAGAAGGAGCGAAUCUAUUAAAACCGGUCUCAGUUCGGAUCGGAGUCUGCAACUCGACUCCGUGAAGCUGGAAUC
rnacentral:rRNA from 1 species